rnacentral:rRNA from 1 species
UGGGGAAUAUUGCACAAUGGGCGCAAGCCUGAUGCAGCCAUGCCGCGUGUAUGAAGAAGGCCUUCGGGUUGUAAAGUACCUUCAGUCGGGAGGAAGGUGGUAAGGUUAAUAACCUUGGCAAUUGACGUUACCGACAGAAGAAGCACCGGCUAACUCCGUGCCAGCAGCCGCGGUAAUACGGAGGGUGCAAGCGUUAAUCGGAAUUACUGGGCGUAAAGCGCACGCAGGCGGUUGAUUGAGUCAGAUGUGAAAUCCCCGGGCUUAACCCGGGAAUUGCAUCUGAUACUGGUCAGCUAGAGUCUUGUAGAGGGGGGUAGAAUUCCAUGUGUAGCGGUGAAAUGCGUAGAGAUGUGGAGGAAUACCGGUGGCGAAGGCGGCCCCCUGGACAAAGACUGACGCUCAGGUGCGAAAGCGGGGGGAGCAAACAGG